rnacentral:lncRNA from 1 species
UCUCUCUCUCUCUCUCCCUCCCCUCUUUCUCUAAUCAACCUCCAUAUUCUCGUCUUAUCACUAGAUUGAGUUUUAUAUAAUAUUUCACAUUAACAAUUCCCCAACCCUUUUGCGUACUCUUGUUCAGCUUGAACCUCCGUCAUCUGAGAGAAAAUACAACCUAGUUUCUGGAUGAAGUGGAAGCAGAAUGCUCAUACUUGAACUUGAGCUUCGAAUCCAGAGAUGGAGGUGUGUGCCCUCUUUGUUUUUUUGGUUGUCCAUCCAAAGUUGAAUGCUCAUGCUUGUUUCUUGUGGAUUCACUGAUAUUAAUCUAACUAGAGAAAUUUUGAAUAUAGAUGUAUCAUAUGGCUGGAAAGGAAUGAAGCAUCACAAUAAUUCAGCACAUAUUGUGGAAGACAUGCAGAUUACAUGGAAUGCAGCAGAGGCUUCUUCACAUCGAUUUGAAUUCAGUUAGCUGCCUUAGUCAUCUGUGUUGAAAAUAGAAAAUAAUUCCAAUUCCUGAGAGUUAAGGACUGAAUACAGGGAUCCUAUGUCCUGAGGGUCGAGGACUGAAUAUGCAUCUCAAAAACAUGGGUGCAUAUCUCUGGAUGAUCAAUGUUACGAGUUCAGUGAUGUUGUGAAGUUGAAAUGAUGACUUCGAACUUACUCUCGAGGUAACGAGUUUGGAAAAGAGUUUUUGAAAAAUGGGUUUUUUUGUUUUGACAAAAAUAUUAAGAACUCAAUAAAAGUUUAUGUUGUUUUUCUGAAAACUCUUUUUUUUUUUUAAAAAAAAAACACAGCCUCUAUUAGUCCGGUUUAGCCGAUAAUAUGAUGUUUUGAAAAUGCAUUUUGGGCGUGAGAGGAGUUAAAAGUAAAUAUCAUCUAUGUAAACUGAACAAAAUUUUGACACCAGUCUUUUUUAUUCAUGAGGAAGACUUAGAAGUGCUAGUGCAUUUAGCGUUCACCAAGAGUACAUGUUGUUGAUGUCAAAAUCCGAAUGAGUUGGUUAGUGACUAGAUCUCAGAUCCCUGCAUCAACAUUAAAUUUGUUUGGUGGGAAGCUGGUGGUUGAUCUCUAAGAAGAUCCUCCAACUAUGAGCAGAAUAUUCAUGAGCAGAUAAAUUUUAAGCUAAUGAUCAGCAAGUACUUGAAAUUACAGAGAAUGCUCAGAGGCGCCGGAAGUUUUUCCGGCGUAAACUCUCCGACGCUCAAGUCAGUUAUCAGAUUUACAGGAAAAACCAAAUAUGUCAUUUCUCAUAUGGCUUAAUAAACACUGCUUUAAAACCAAAAGUUUUUUAAAAUAAUUUACAGAAAAAUGAAAUAGAGUGUAAAAUAAAGAAUUUCUCAGUGAGACAAGAAGAAAAAGAGCCCCUUUGGCGUGGUUUUCUCGGGGUUUUUAUAAAUACUCCACACCCACGACCUUAGAUCGUGAAGAUAACCAUUAAUUGAUCAAAUUUGUGCUAUGAUUUUUUAGAGGAGUUUUGUGGUGGUUUAUUUUAGUUGAGUCUGGAUUCUUGGUCAUCACUGACAAUAACCAUUAAUUGAUUAAAUUUGUGCCCUGAUUUUUCGGAAGGGUUUUGUGAUGGUUUAUUUUACCUGAGUCUGGAUUCUUGGUCAUCACCUAGUCGAGGUCAUUUGCUCAAGCUCAUACCACCUGGUCGAGGUGAUCUCCUCAAGCUCAUAGUAAAUGGUCGAGGUGGUCUGCUCAAGCUCAUAACACAUGAUCGAAGUGGUCUGCUCAACCUCGUAGUACCUGGUCAAGGUGGUUUGCUCAACCUCAUAAUACUUGGUCGAGGUGGUCUACUCAAGCUCAUAGCACCUGGUCGAGGUAGUCUGCUCAAGUUCAUAGCACCUGGUCAAGGUGGUCUGCUCAAGCUCAUAUCACUUGGUCAAGGUGGUCUGCUCAAGCUCAUACCACUUGGUCGAGGUGGUCUGCUCAAGCUCAUACCACUUGGUCGAGGUGGUCUGCUCAAGCUCAUACCACUUGGUCGAGGUGGUCUGCUCAAGCUCAUACCACUUGGUCGAGGAAUUUUUUUUUUAAAUAUAUAUGAUAUCUGCUGUACCGUACAUCCGCCUUGGCCGUACAGCAGGAAAAUAGAAAAUAAUUCCAAUUCCUGAGAGUUAAGGACUGAAUACAGGGAUCCUAUGUCCUGAGGGUCGAGGACUGAAUAUGCAUCUCAAAAACAUGGGUGCAUAUCUCUGGAUGAUCAAUGUUACGAGUUCAGUGAUGUUGUGAAGUUGAAAUGAUGACUUCGAACUUACUCUCGAGGUAACGAGUUUGGAAAAGAGUUUUUGAAAAAUGGGUUUUUUUGUUUUGACAAAAAUAUUAAGAACUCAAUAAAAGUUUAUGUUGUUUUUCUGAAAACUCUUUUUUUUUUUUAAAAAAAAAACACAGCCUCUAUUAGUCCGGUUUAGCCGAUAAUAUGAUGUUUUGAAAAUGCAUUUUGGGCGUGAGAGGAGUUAAAAGUAAAUAUCAUCUAUGUAAACUGAACAAAAUUUUGACACCAGUCUUUUUUAUUCAUGAGGAAGACUUAGAAGUGCUAGUGCAUUUAGCGUUCACCAAGAGUACAUGUUGUUGAUGUCAAAAUCCGAAUGAGUUGGUUAGUGACUAGAUCUCAGAUCCCUGCAUCAACAUUAAAUUUGUUUGGUGGGAAGCUGGUGGUUGAUCUCUAAGAAGAUCCUCCAACUAUGAGCAGAAUAUUCAUGAGCAGAUAAAUUUUAAGCUAAUGAUCAGCAAGUACUUGAAAUUACAGAGAAUGCUCAGAGGCGCCGGAAGUUUUUCCGGCGUAAACUCUCCGACGCUCAAGUCAGUUAUCAGAUUUACAGGAAAAACCAAAUAUGUCAUUUCUCAUAUGGCUUAAUAAACACUGCUUUAAAACCAAAAGUUUUUUAAAAUAAUUUACAGAAAAAUGAAAUAGAGUGUAAAAUAAAGAAUUUCUCAGUGAGACAAGAAGAAAAAGAGCCCCUUUGGCGUGGUUUUCUCGGGGUUUUUAUAAAUACUCCACACCCACGACCUUAGAUCGUGAAGAUAACCAUUAAUUGAUCAAAUUUGUGCUAUGAUUUUUUAGAGGAGUUUUGUGGUGGUUUAUUUUAGUUGAGUCUGGAUUCUUGGUCAUCACUGACAAUAACCAUUAAUUGAUUAAAUUUGUGCCCUGAUUUUUCGGAAGGGUUUUGUGAUGGUUUAUUUUACCUGAGUCUGGAUUCUUGGUCAUCACCUAGUCGAGGUCAUUUGCUCAAGCUCAUACCACCUGGUCGAGGUGAUCUCCUCAAGCUCAUAGUAAAUGGUCGAGGUGGUCUGCUCAAGCUCAUAACACAUGAUCGAAGUGGUCUGCUCAACCUCGUAGUACCUGGUCAAGGUGGUUUGCUCAACCUCAUAAUACUUGGUCGAGGUGGUCUACUCAAGCUCAUAGCACCUGGUCGAGGUAGUCUGCUCAAGUUCAUAGCACCUGGUCAAGGUGGUCUGCUCAAGCUCAUAUCACUUGGUCAAGGUGGUCUGCUCAAGCUCAUACCACUUGGUCGAGGUGGUCUGCUCAAGCUCAUACCACUUGGUCGAGGUGGUCUGCUCAAGCUCAUACCACUUGGUCGAGGUGGUCUGCUCAAGCUCAUACCACUUGGUCGAGGUGGUCUGCUCAAGCUCAUACCACUUGGUCGAGGUGGUCUGCUCAAGCUCAUACCACUUGGUCGAGGUGGUCUGCUCAAGCUCAUACCACUUGGUCGAGGUGGUCUGCUCAAGCUCAUACCACUUGGUCGAGGUGGUCUGCUCAAGCUCAUACCACUUGGUCGAGGUGGUCUGCUCAAGCUCAUACCACUUGGUCGAGGUGAUCUCCUCAAGCUCAUAGCACCUGGUUGAGGUAAUCUCCUCAACUUUUUACUCACUUUUACUUAAAGGAGAUCAUGGUCACCCUAGUUAAUUCCCUAAACACCAGUCCCCAAGUUUCUAGUGUUGAGAGUAAAACGAAUCAACACUGGAAACUAUAAAGUUUAUAAUUUUAAAAACUUAAAACCUUAAACACUUAAAACAUUUUGCUUUCCCUGCUAACCAUGCUUUUAUAUAUAUAUAUAUAUAUAUAUAUAUAUAUGGGUGAGUAGGUAUCGUUAGUUUAAGGUUUUAUGCAUUAUCUAUAGCAAGUUUCAAGGCUUUUAACCUUCUACUGUUUUAAGCAAUUUUAAGGUCUUAAGCCUUAUCUAGAAUAGGUUUUAAGGCUUCUAACCUUGCACUUGCUUAAUCCGCUCAUGAAUGAAUUUUUUUUUUAAAUAUAUGUGAUAUAGCGGAUUUGGGUAAACCUUUGCCCUGGCAUAAUUUAUGCAAAUUAUGCUUGCUCGUCCUCAUGUGACAGAGCAGAUUUUUUGGCAAACCUUUGCCUUGGCGUAGUUUAUGCAAAUUCUGCCUGCUUGUCCUCAUGUGACAGAGCAGAUUUUUGGCAAACCUUUGCCUUAGUGUAUUCCUGUGAAUUUCGCCUGCUCGGCCUUAGUUGACGGAUCAAGUUUUUGGCAAACUUUCUCCUUAGCGUAUUUAUGAGAAUUCUGCCUGCUCAUCUUCAUGCGACAGAGUAGGUUUUGGCAAACAUAUGCCUCAGGAAUAUUUUUUGCGAAUUUUUCCCAAUCGUCCUCACGCGACUGAGCAAGUUUGGGUAAAUCUUUGCCUUAGAAAAUGUUUUUGUGAAUUUUGCAUGCUCGUCCUUUUGCGACUGAGCAGAUUUGGGUAAACCUUUGCCUUAAAAAAAUAUUUUUGCGAAUUUUGCCUGCUCAUCCUCACGCGAUUGAGCAGGUUUGGGCACCAUGUGCCUUAGAAAAUUUCUUGUCAAUUUUGUCUGCUCGCCUUCACGCGGCUGAGCAAGAUUCGGCACCAUGUGCCUUAGAAAAUUUCUUGCCAAUUUUGCUUGCUCGCCCUCACGCGGCUGAGUAGGAUUCGGCACCCUGUGCUUUAGAAAGUUUCUUGCCAACUUUGCAUGCUCGCCCUCACACGGUUGAGUAGGAUUCGGCACCAUGUGCCUUAAAAAGUUUCUUGCCAAUUUUGCCUGCUCGCCCUCAAUCAGCUGAGCAGGAUUCAGCACCCUGUGCCUUAAAAAGUUUAUUGCCAAUUUUGCUUGCUCGCCCUCAUGCGGCUUAGUAGGAUUCAGCACCCUAUGCCUUAAAAAAUUUCUUGCCAAUUUUGCAUGCUCGCCCUCACGCGGUUGAGCAGGAUUCGGCACCCUGUGCCUUAAAAAAUUUCUUGCCAAUUUUGCAUGCUCGCCCUCAAGCGACUGAGCAGGAUUCGGCACCCUGUGCCUUAGAAAAUUUCUUGCUAAUUUUGCCUGCUCGCCUUCAUGUGGCUGAGCAGGAUUCGGCACCCUAUGCCUUUGAAAAUUUCUUGCAAAUUCUGCCUGCUUGCCCUUUCAUAAAUCGUUCUCAUAUUGAGCAACUUUCAAGAAAUCAAGUUGAUUGAGUUAUAUCACUAGCUUUAAUAUGAGCUCUAUUAAUUUGACAUGUACAAACUAUCCUCAUUUAAUAAAUUACUAGUAGGUAAAUACUAUACCCGCAAAUAAAUGCUACAAAUGCAUGUUUUCAUGUAGACAUCAAGACAUAAAUUUGUUAAAAUUUAUGACCUAAUUAGGAUGCAACUUUUGGCAUCAAUGUCUCCUUUCGGGUGCAUAGCUUGCCUCAUUCGCAAAUGUAUUAAAAUUGACUUGGCCAGUCAAAUAAGAGUUUGUCAAAUUAAUAAGUAUCAAACACAAAUUAUAGACGUGAUAUCAUUCACUAGGAUUAUGAUUCGAAAACGUAGCUUAAAUAGUAGCGAAUCUAGUGUGCAGGUGUCUAAAGUCAUCAUUGUUACGAAAUAUCUCAAAACAAACUGUAACUUAUAAAUUUCCCAAAAAGUAGCUCAAAAAAUCAAACACAUAAGUGGGCUUUUAGCCACGCUUCUAGUCAUUUAUUUAUGCAUUUGGGUUUUUUAAUGGAUAACAUCCUUUAUGCUCCAUGAUUAUCAAUAACAUAUUCAUUUAUCAAUAUGAUAAAAGUCAUCUACUAAAGGUUCAUUGUUUCAUUUAUUAUUGCUAUGAACAUUGAGAUUUAAACAUAAAAUAAAGCAUAGCAUUUUAGAACAUGUAAUCAUAAAAGAGAUGGUAGUUUAAACCAUUAAACAAAAUCAUAUCAUUAUAUCAAGGGGAUGUAGUGCUAUGAUAAUAUAGAACUAAAUUAUAUAUGGUAACAUAAAAUUUUUGUACUAGAAAAUGGGUAAAGACGGUGAGUCAAAACUCGAUCUAACAUAUAUCUUAAAUCAAUAAUUAGUUUUAAAGAAUAAAUAUAGAAUUGAGGUUAAAGAACAAGUGCACCUGAGAUUGUGCUCUGCAUUAUUUGAUUGGCAUUUCAUCAAGCAAAUUCCAAGCUUGACUUUGCAUUCUUGCAAUAUUAUAACUCGGGCAUAAAACGAAUAAAAUUUGCGGGAAAAAAAAUCCAACUUUGUCAAUGCUUUGAAGCUUGAAAAUAUUCCUUUCAAUUCUCAUCAUCAAUAAACAUUUGUUUUGUUUUAAAAGCAUUAUUAAAGUGAGCCAAAAUAACCAAUACUCGGCCUCAUCCAAAUUAUGCUAAUUAUACUUCUUCCAACACUCAUUAACAAUUAUGAGAAUUUGUGCAAUGUGGAUGACAAGCAUUAUUUACAUACAGCUAUGUAUGCAUAAUUUCUAAUGUUCUCUCAUGCAAAGGUAUAAUAGAGCUAUGAUUAAGAAUAAUUCAUGCUCUCAAUUAGUUUGAUGAGUAUAUUGAAUGAACUGAAUCAGAACCUGGAUUUUAAUCCUUGCUCCUAGACAAUGUUCUUUUGAGCGUCACUCCCUUCAAUUUUAGUUGCUACCUUUGCUUUCCAAUCCAAUUAAUCUCACCAUCGUGAGUGUUCUUCUGUAGAUUCCUGAGCUUGUUCCUUACAAUUUGAGGCUGCGAAAUUUUUUCAAUUCUGUCAGUUAUUUUGUCGAACAUUUAUUGUGUGUGAUCUCGUGUCAUCACUUUUAACAAAUAUCCUCUGACACAUGUUUCCAAAAUCGUAAAACACCGUAUCUCUGCACCAAAUAUAUGCAAUCUUUAUUGAUCUCAUCUCUAAUUUUUAUAAAAGUGUACGAAGGACGAGGGAUAUGUGAGGCUGUAAAUAUAGCUUUUGGAAGCAUAUAAUUAAUUGUUGCCGAAAAAGAAGGCUAAUUUUCAAAAUUUCUGUUUAAAAUUGAGAUGCAAGAAAACUAAAAGGUUUAGUGAAGUGAUAAAGACGUUUAGAAUAUCUCAUAUCAAACUCUGAUUCAAUGAUUCAUCCUUCAUACAUGAAGACAAGAGAUUUUAGAGUAUAUAUAAGAGGUACUAAACCAAAUUAAUGCAUGUAUGGUAUGUUACUUCAAUUAAAUAUAACUACUAAUUAUAUGGUGAUUUUUUAAAAUAAUUGCACAUAUGGAUACAUGUAGGGAUGGCAAAAAUCCCCAUGGGGAUGGGUACCCUCGGGGAUUUUUCCCAUUCGGGGAGGGUAUGGGGAUAAUUUCAUACCCAAUUUCUUAUUCGGGGAGGGGACGGGGAUGAGGUGGAAUCCCCAUCCCCUACCCAUUUCCCCAUUUUAAUUUUUUAAAAUUACUAGUGAAUAAAUUAUAAAUAUUGGUAAAAAUAAAAAAAUAUCAAAAUAUUUAUAUUAUUAAACUUUUAGGCCUAAUUAGCUAAUUAAAGUCCUAAAUUUUUAUUUAGAACAUUAAAAAGACCGAGUAGAUUCUAUUAGCCCAAAAUUUUAAUUUUAAUAUUCUUUAAAUUUUUUAAACUUAAAUCUAUUUUUUUAUUUAUUUUUAGAUGUUAUAAUUAUCCACAGCGAAUCACAAUUUUAAUAUCUAAUCUAAUCUAAUCUAAUAUUUGCUCUUGAUUUGCUCUGAUUUAACUAUUGUGUUGUAAAGGGAAUAGUCCACAUUUAUAAAGUGUCCAUGUCACCAUUGAAAAAGUUAAUUUUGAAUCUAAAUUCGAUUUUAUUUGUAACAAUUUUAUAUUAAACUAUUAAUUUGUUCAUGAUAGUUUGUAAAAGAAGUUUGUAUCCCUUGCAUGUUGCGUUACUUACUAAUUUAAUGUAUAUAACUUUUGUAAUGGAUAUUAAUGUAAGAUAUAUUUCGAACUUUACUUUUAUUUGAAUUUUUUAUUUUAAUAUGAUUAACUCAAAAUCGAAAACAAAAAAUAUAUUAGUUAUUCGGGGAUCGGGGACCUUCGGGGAUCCCCUGUUAUUAUUUGGGGAGGGGAUGAGGAUUCUCUCAAGUAAUUCUGACGGGGACGGGGAGGGGACAAGGAUAUACGCAAAAUAUCGGGGAUGGGUACGGAGAGAUUGGUCCCCUCCCCUCCCCUCCCCUCCCCAUUGCCAUCCCUAAUCUGGAGAGAAGUUUGACUAUAAAGCAACUAGCAUUAGAAUUCCACAUUUCUUAAAUUCGUGCUUACCAACUAAUUUCUAAUUAUUAUGAAAGUUAAAUUUCUCAAGUCGGUGUCAUGUGAAUACACAAAUUUACCAAUACGGAAACAAAUUCAAACUAUACCGAGGCUGUGGCAUGUGUAAUUGAUCAUUCAGAUGCAAUAUAUCACACAUAGAGAUGAGUAAAUUGAAAGUAAUCACAUCAAUUUAAUAGAAAAUACAAGCAAAAAUGAAAUUUGUGAGACAUAUUUUACUGAUCUCAAGCUCAUGAAUGUCAAUAUUGGUUUAAUUUUUACUGAUUCAAUUCAUUUUUUUUUCACGUGAAUCCAGAAAUAAAAGAGGGCUUGCUGCAAUUUGUGCAUGAUAAUAUUCUGCCUUCGUUUUGGCUAGAUGAAAAUUGAUAGAGUUAGCAGAUUGGCUUUUUGUAUCGAUCCCUACAGACGGCGCCAAAUGUUGAUGCCAAAAUCCGGAUGAGUUGGUUAGUGACUCGAUCUCAGAUCCCUGCAUCAGCAUUAAAUUUGUUUGGUGGGAAGCUAGUGGUUGAUCUCCAAGAAGAUCCUUCGACUAUGAGCAGAUAAAUUUUAAGCUAAUGAUCAACAAGUACCUGAAAUUACAGAGAAUGCUUAAAGGCGCUGGAAGUUUUUCCUGCGUAAACCCUCCGACGCUCAAGUUAGUUAUCGGAUUUACAGAAAAAACCAAGUAUGUCAUUUCUCAUAUGGCUUAAUAAACAUUGCCUUAAAACCAAAAGCUUUUUUAAAAUAAUUUACAGAAAAAUGAAAUAGAGUGUAAAAGAAAGAAUUUCUCAGUGAGACAAGGAGAAAAAGAUCCCCCCUUGGCAUGGUUUUCUCGGGGUUUUUAUCAACACUCCACACUCACGACCUUAGAUCGUGACAAUAACCAUUAAUUGAUCAAAUUCGUGCCUUGAUUUUUCAGAUGAGCUUUGUGGUGGUUUAUUUGAGCUAAGUCUGGAUUCCUGGUCGAGGUCAUCUGCUCAAGCUCAUACCACCUAGUUGAGGUGAUCUACUCAAGCUCAUAGUACCUGGUCGAGGUGGUCUGCUCAAGCUCAUAGCACCUGGUCGAGGUGAUUUCCUCAAGCUCAUAGCACCUGGUCGAGGUGAUCUUCUCAACCUUUUACUCAUUUUUACUUAGAGGAGAUCGUGGUCAUCCUAUUUAAUUCCCUAAACACAUGUGUUAUGAAUAAAAUUGUUCUUAGCUAUUUAUGAUGUAAUAGAUGCCAUUAUGGCAAGCUUUAUCGUUGCCUAAAGGUUACUUGUUAGGGCUGUGUAUUAUAUUUAAUAAUAAUAUCGUAAAACAUAAGUAUGGCAAUGGUAGCUUCAUUCUUUUCACUUGGUCGCGUGUGCCUUCAAGUUUGUUAAUUGAAAAGUUUCUAAAACAAAAUUAAUGACAAAACAAUCUAAAUUAACAUUGUAUUAGUAAAUGGCUGAUAGUUACCGCAAAUUGCCAUUUACUCGCCUACAAUGUAAGUUAAGAGGAAGUUUUUGAGACAACAUCUAUUUAUUUAUUUUAUUUAUUCAGGAGGUCGGACUCGAUUCUAUAAUGCGAGAAUCUGAUCUGGAGUCUGGACCCUAUCAUCAAUGUGGGUUGAAAAAGCCCGAUAGGCAGUUGCUUGGACAUGCCUCGUACCCGAAGUUAACAAUAACAGUAAGGGAGCUCUUGGGAAAAGGGAAUUAUCAAGUAAGAUUACUUGCCUCCCAUACUCAGCUAAUGUUUGAUUCCUUCCCCAUGCAUGAAUCCUCCCUGAAGUUGCCAUGAAGUAAUCCUCUUUCCCACUGGCCUAGCACCAACUCAUUCAUAUCACCCUCACUUCUCUUCGUUGUUCCGUCGCAAUUCUUUUUGGCAACACAUCACAUAUCACCAUGUCUUGGCGCGGUGAAAUUGAAACCAAUCCUCAUUUUCGCCCACCACCAAAUCAACUUGAACGCCAACAUUCUCCGUUACCUAUUCUGGGGGCGGCAACGACAACACCAUGGUACCAAGAUCACCAAGACCAAUAUACCCAGCCACCGCGUUCACCAGUGCCACGAGCAAAGAAACAAAAGCAGCGCCAGGAUCGGCGUUACUGGCCACUAGGUGCAUGGUCAAUGACACCAAUGGAUCAGGAAGUCCGGCCACAACCUCCGGGUGGGCAGCAGCAACCGCAUGGUCCUGAUCAGGCGACGGAACCUCAAUGGAAACCGCAGCCUCAAUGGUCACAAGCGACACAACCAAAGCAUCAUGGCCAGCCGCACGGUCCAGAGGCAGCAAUACCACCACUGCAUCAAGAUCAGUACCACCAACGUAAUUCACAAGGUUUGCGGGCGCCAUCUCCUCGUCGAACCAAGCUCUACCAAUGGUUUUUUGCAGGCUUUUGUGCAAUCUUUUGGAUUGUCAUAAUUCUAGGAGGCAUAGUCGUCCUCAUAGUUUAUCUUCUCUUUCGCCCACAUAACCCACGGUUUGAUGUGUCUAGUGUCAGCUUAAACGCAGCCUAUCUAGACGUGGGAGUUUUGCUAAACGCCGAUCUCAAUGUGCUUGCUAACUUCACAAAUCCUAACAAGAAAGUCAAAGUAGACUUCAGUUACGUAGUCCUUGAUCUUUACUACGGAAAGACCCUCAUUGCUUCUCAAUAUGUCGAACCUUUCUCGGCAGCAAGGCGCACGUCUUGGCUUACAAAUGUUCAUCUGGUGACAAGCCAAGUUCGGCUUCCUUUCGCGGCAACUGAACAGCUUAAGAAGGAAAUAGACAGCAACGCAGUUAUGUUUCAAGUCAAGGGAGUGUUCCGGGCACGAUCCGAUUUGGGAACUUUCUUACGGUACUCUUAUUGGCUCUACAGUCAUUGCACUAUUGUGCUCUCUGGUCCUCCCAGUGGAGUCUUAAGAGCUAGCAAAUGCAGGACAAAACGCUGAGAGGAGAGGGAACCAUUUUUGGAAUUAUACUUCUCUAAAUUGUUUUCGAUUCGUUGGCUUUCAAGUACAAAUUAACCAGUGAUUUUGCCUUUUUUUUUUUUACAUUUUUUUGUUCUUUUGUAUAACAAUAUUCAAGUACAAAUUAACCAGUGAUUUUGCCUUUUUUUUUUUUACAUUUUUUUGUUCUUUUGUAUAACAAUAUAUUUUCACGCACCAUAUAAUUAAUUAAUUAGCAACCAUAAACACCAGCCUUUCUUCAGUUUCUGCUCGUGUUCUUUGGCGUUUCCUAUCUCUUGGGUUCAAAUCGUGAGUUAGCAUCAAAAUUCUAGAUAGCCAAUAAUAUUAUGCAAAUAUAUAUGCUUCAGCGCCGUGCGCACAUGAUGAUUCCUUACGAGACAACAAAUUAUAAUUAAAAGAUAAAGCGAAAGCCGGGGAAAACCUGAUUAAGCAAAAUCUCGUUUCAUGUGAUAAGAGCAAAGACUUCAAUACAAUGGGAAGACGAUAUAUAAUGAAUGUAUGACACUUCCGCAGUAGAAAGAAUUGCUCACAAUGGAUUAUUUACAAAAGCUACACACGAGAUUUUACCAUAAGCAGGCAUUAUUCUGGCCCAAUCUUUCACCCUUCACUAAGCCCAACAGAAACCCGCACCAGCCAAUUUCACUAGAGCCACACAACUCCAAAGAAAAACACUUGUGCGCCCUCGAAAUGAAGACAAAAUAACAGCGACCCAAAAAAAAAAAAACUUAUAUCUAAAAUCUUCUGUAAUAAUCUCUGGUAAAGAAAGGAUGCUUGAGGGCAUCGUGGGCGGUUAGUCUGCUGGAGGGGUCAUACCUGAGAAGCCCUUGCAAGAGAUCUAUGAGGUAUCCAGCUGAGUGAUCUACAUGCUGCAUUACUAGGUUCUGCAAAGCAAAAAGACAAACGAAAUGAUAAAUCAGUUGAGUAAUCUUUUUCUUUUGCCAGAAGUUUUUUUUUUUUUUUUUAAAUAAAAGAAAGAUAUUAUCAUUUUACACUGAACUCUUUUUUUUUUAAUAUCACUUUGCCAUUAAAAUUUUCUAAUAAUUACUUUUUUCUACUCAAUGUUUUAGUUUUUAUCACUUUACCACCAAACGCUAACUCCAUUAGCAAGUUACUGAUGUCACAGGGAUAUUUCAAGAAUCUUAAUAUAUAUUUGCAAUUCUAUCAAUUGAUUAUUUUAGACAUAUUUAGAUAUAUAUAAAAAAAAAUCAAUUAAUAAAAGUAUUAUCUAUUUGUAUAUAAUUAAUUUUGUAUUUUUUUAAUUCAGAGGAUUAACUUGUACUUGACAGUUUAGGGGUAAAAUAGACUUUUAUUAUGAGUUCUGUUAAAAAUUCAGUCAUUUUUAACAAUUUGCUGAUAAAAUAAUAAAAAUUGAAACGUUAGAUAAAAUGAUAAAAUAAUUGUCAGAAAAUUUUGAUUGUAAAAUAAUAUUCCAAGAAAACUUAAGUGAUAAAAUGAUAAUAUCCCAUAAAAAUGGAUGAGUAUGAUGUGCAUAGGCUUGCAAUGAGUAAUGAACCUCUAAACAAGUCCCUGGAACCAAAAGGACGAUGUAACUUGAAGAUACAUGUUAUCAUACACACCUGGAGACGAGGUAGCUUUAGAACAGCUUUAAUGCUUUCCCGUGAUGUUGCACCCUCUGGCCAGUCCAAUCUACCUCUUCUAACAAACUUCUCAGCAGGUUUGCUGAACCAACAAUUAAGAAUAGACAAACAAAUUGAAAAAUAGUAUAUUGAAAGGAUAAAAAUAACAGGAAUUUUUUGAAGGGCACGCACUCGACUCUUUUUAACAUGUGUUGAGGUAUCGGGCCAAGAACCCUUUCCAUCAUAGCCAAGUGCUCCAAGUUUUCAUGUGUCUGAAACAAAGCUUCUCCCUACAAAGAAACAUAUUUUUUCCCACAGGUAUAUGUUAAAGAUUAUUUUGUAUGCAAUAUCUGUCAAUGCAUGCCAACAUACUCUGAAGACAUUAACAUACCGAGCACAGCUCAAUCAAAAUACAUCCAACACUCCACAUGUCACAUGGAUAACUCCAUCCAAGUCCUGAAAUUUAGUUAAGCAUUAAAGGCAUGAACUUCCAGAGAUCCAAUGACAACAGAAAUUUCUACAGAGGACAAAGCAACACCAUACCAAGAAUAACCUCAGGAGCACGGUAGUGCCUGGUGGAGACAAUAUAGUUGUGUUCUUGAUGCUCAUAUGCUGUGCUUCCAAAAUCAAUAACCUUAAUAGCACUUGACUUUGGCAACCUCUUGUAAUAGUUCACAUCAGUUGGUGAUCGGGCCGUAACCUACAAAUUAAAAAGUUAGAAAAACUAAUUAACCAACAUCAAAGGGCAAAUAGUACAAAAGACAAACAAUAUAGUACAAUUGCAAAGCCAGAAGAUGCAUCAUUAACAUUUGACUUCUAAUAACAACAAAGGCACGCACCAAUUGAGAACAUCUGAAAAAUAAGCAAAGCUACCUUGUAGUCAGGUAUUUUCAAGUAUUCCGGAGAAACAAAAAGUAUAUUCUCAGGCUUCAAGUCGGUAUGGAUGAGGCGCAAAUCAUGCAUGACUGCACAAUGAAAAUGAGUGUGUGCAUAUAAGCACUUAUGGCAUGACUAUUAUAAUCCAGCCUCAAAUCUCAGCAAUUCACUUGAGAGAAAUCAAAGCUCCCACGAAAAUAAAAAUACAAAAAAGAAAUAAAAAUUUAUUAAACUUAACAGAAAAGCUACUAGUGCCUUUGUGCGAGCAUGAAUUGGCUCAGAUAACUCCCGAAAAAUGGUUACCAACUACGGGGAAAAAAGAAGAGUAAUAGCAGAUUACACACAUGCUACACAUUCCAACAGUUGUCUGCCAAUCUCACGGACAAGAUCAACCGGAAAUGGGCGAUAAUUAUUUUUCCGAAGAAAAUCGUAUAGGCUAGGUCCAAGCAUCUCAAACACCUGUGAAGAUCAUUUAAAUCCACCAAGUCUUAACCCCAAAAUAUUAUCAAAUUGGGGAAAUCAUGUCAUUGUAAAUCAGUUGUAUACUUACGAUACAGAUAUGGUUACGAUAGUCAAACCAGUUCCUUAUUUGAACACAACUGCAAAGAAUAUAUGCACUUUAAAACUAACUCAAGAUUCACCUCAAAACCUUAAAAAACGACAAAUGAUAACAAGGAAGAAAUGUAAACUCACUGACUGCCACUUCUGUCAUAUCUUUUGAGCAACUCAAGCACAUCAAUUUCUGUCAUUGCUGCUUCACGGUAUUUCUUAAUACUUCGCACAACUUUUAUGGCAACCGUCUCUCCUGUUUCCCUAUCUAAACAAUCCAAAACCUGACCAAAAGUUCCUGUUGGAAGAAAAAAUAUAAAUGGAAAAGGGGGGGAAAAAAGAAGAAGAAGUAAUAUGAGGACGUAAACCACAAAAUCAAUAACACAACUGUAGACAGAAUCUAGAGAAGUGAAACCAACCUUCACCAAUUUUUCUGAGGAUUUUAUCUGCAAGCAAGAGGGCAAUAAAAUGAGAAUAAGUAACUCUUGGAAAAUUAAUAAAUGAUUAAUAAAAAAUUCAAAUAAAUAAGCAAAUCUUUUUUUUUAUAAUUCAAAUAACUUGAAAAUAAAGGUUUUCCAUAUAUUGAAACCCAGUAAAUAAAGACACUGAUAAUAAAGUAAUUAAAAAAAAAAAACUCAACAGCAACUAAACCAUGGGAAAGGACAAGAUACGUUUUAUUUUAUUAGCAAUAAGAUUUAUAAGGAAAUAUUAUUAUAAAUAUUUUUUUUCUUAUAUGGAAACGAGGUGGAUAUACAAGAGGGAGAGAGAUUAUAUUUUUAGCACAUGGCAGAGAAUUAAUGCCACUGCUGAAGAUAACCUAAUUCCAAAUAAAAAAAAUUUUUAAAAAAUUCCCAAAUCCACAACGGUUAAUGUAAACAGUUAAUAUUCUGAGCCUCAAUUUUCUUUAAAGCUUCUGCCUAUACUGUACUACACAUAAGAGAAGCUUUUGAGACCCUAAAAAUCCUCACAAUUCAUUCAAGUAAAGAAAGAAAAUAUUGAAAAAGAUAAAAAAAAUAGAAAGAUAUCAUUAUUAUGCAUUUAAAAUACGGUAUUCCCUACUUCAUCCACAUAAAGCAGAAGCAAAUAUUAGCAAGAUACUUUAAAAAAAACAAAAAAAAGAACUCAUCAAAAAUAAUGAUCAAGUGUAAUUACAGCGAGAAGUUAAAUUCUCUCCAAGCGCAAACAGGUAAUGUCCAUCUUUGUCAUCAUUUCGCCAUUGGGGAGUGCCAUUUUGAGCCAAUCCCUUUACAAACAUACUAGCAUGGUCUGCAUGUACCCUUGAUGGCCCAAAGCUUGUCAGAUUCCCCAACUCUUGUCCACAAUACAUUCCUGACUGAGCCUACACACAGCCAUUCAUUCAUACUACACUAUACACAAAGAAAUCAUAAACUCUGCCCACCUCCACAUUUAUUCACUUCCAAAAUCUUCCCCCAAUUUUUAAGGAUAUAAUACUAAUAAAGUGGAAGACAUAUACAAUUUGACAAAUUCUAAAGUCACGUCAAGUAACAUGAUCAACACAGAGAAAUUCUUGGUCAUUUUUGCAAGAUCAGACUAUUAAAUAACCAACAUUAAACAUUUGUCAUUUCCAAGCACAAGGGAUAAACAAUAUACUACUAAUACAGUUAAAAAAAAAGAAGAAAUUUUGAUCUAAACAAGCCAUUCAAAUCUUUCAAUUAUAAACAAAGGUCCAAUUCAUAUGCCUUUGCGGAAAGAAAAAAUUAAUUUUAUUUUAUCCUAAGGAAACAAACAGAUCCUCAAUAACUAUUCAAAUCAUUUUUUUCUUUAAAAAAAUCAAAUGUACCUUAGAGUGAGCUUGAGGGUUUUCCCAAGCUAAUCGAGGUCUCUUCGUGGGACGACGAUCCAUGUGACUGUGAGCAAACCCUGUAACGUAGUCCAUUUCCAUCUGAUACAAAACCCUAACCCCAGAUUGACUUAUCGAUUCAUCAAUUACGGGAAGAGAUCAAUUGAAUUUUUCUUCUUUGUCGCAAAAGCUUGUGAGGCCGCUGUUCUUUAUUGUAAGCUAUUGCAAGCGGUUGGAUUCGUUUCUAAGGUUUGAUCCAGCACCGUUCGAUUUUUAGAUUGAGAUUGACCAUGGUUAGAUUGUAGCAGCGGUUGAGUUAGCGUUUCUUUUUCAUUAUUUUAUCCAUUUGGAAUAUUCUACUCCACGAACCGUGAUCCUCUGUGUUUCAAAAGUGUUUAUUUUUGGCACAUUUACGAAAAUAAUCAUAGAAGUUAAGUAAAUUACAAAAAUAACCACACAAGUUUUAUUUAUCAAAAUUAGCCAAACACCAAAAAUUUGGACCAAACUACCCCUGCCAUUUUCACCCAAACUCACCGAAAUCUCUCACCUAUCGCCGACAGUGUAGAGUAAUAUCGAAGUCCAUCAUUGACGGUCAAUCUCAUCGAAAUCACAUCCAACAACAUCAAUCCUGCUGAAAUCAAGUCCAAUAAAUGUUUAAAGUUCAAAAAUCCUAGGUUAGUAGUUUCAAAUAAAUGUUUUAUUUUAUUCUUCUGUUGUGUUGUUGUUGUGUGUGUUGUUGUUGUGGUGGUGGUGGUAGAUUGAGUAUUUGUUGGUGGUGAUAGAGGGUUGAGUAUUUGUUGGUGUUGGUGUUGGUGUGUUGCCGGCGUUGGUGCAUUGCUGAGGCACCCAUUGCCUGGAAUUUCUUGUGAUAGGUGUUGCCAUUGCGUAAAGAUUCAAAUGAUGGCAGCACCCAUCACAAGAAAUUUGAACGAUGGCCAUUACCCAUCUCAUGAUUUUAGGUGAUGGCUUGGAACUCAUCGCACAAAAAUUUAGAUUGUAUGUAAUUUAAAUUUAAUCUGAAUUUUUGUGCGAUAGGUGAGUCGUCGCACAAAAUUUAUCUCGUCGCACAACAACUCAUAUUACACAUAAUCUAAAUUUUUGUGCGACGAGAGCAUGUCGCACCAAAUUUUGUGUGACGACUCGCCGUUGAACUAAACCAAAUUUGAUUUGUUGUGCAACGAGUGCCCGUCUCACAAAAAUUAGUAUGAUGGACACUCGUCACACCAAAUUUUGUCUAACAAAUCACCGUUUAACCUAAAGCAAAUCUGAUUUAUUGUGGGACAAGUGCUCGCCUCACAAAAAUUGUUGUGAUGGCAUCCAUCGCACAAACAUUCUGGUUGCACAUUAUGCCCAUUGCACUAAUUUUUUUGCACAAUUUGUUUCUAAAACAUAAGACCAUUUGUACUUUUUCAGCUAAACUUUUUAUUUUACAUUAUUAUUAUAAUAAUUUUACAGAUCGCACAAUAAUGAAUAAAAUUUCGAUUUUAGUUUAGAUAGAUAACGAAAACUAAGUUGGUAAAACGCAAUCCACCUAAAUCUAUGAAGGAGUCAGGUGUGAUGAAGUCAUGAUUUGAUGAUCAUUUCUCAGGCCAUAUUACGAAGACACCAAAAUUUAAAAAAGUCAUCAAAGCUAUCGAACGUAAGCUAACGUACAAAAAAUUGUUAUUGUUCAAAAGUGAUACUUUUAGGCACUUCAUGGACUUGGAUAGUUAUGUAUUUAGUGAUGUUAUAAUCCACAACCUAUUACUUAGGCAAGUGGGACAUGAAGAAACUGAUGAAAAUUAAUUAUGGUUUCAAAUUGGAGAGCGCUUGAUACGUUUAUCGAUCGAAGAGUGGUGCCUAGUUACAGGGCUUUCCAAUGGUCCAGAUGUCCUACCAAAAAAUAUGAAGACGUUUCAGUUUCUACUAGUAUUUCAACAUGUCGAUUCUAAACUCGAGGAGAUAUAGUAAUAAAUAUUGGGAUGCAUCCAUAAUUGAUUACAUAAGAGGCAAUAUGUAACAUAACAUUGAUUAUUUCGUCAUUAAAUAUGUCCCUAAGUAGUGAACAUGUACGAUAGAUUGUGUUAUUAGAUCUCGUAGUUGUAUUCAUCGUGAUACUGUAUUCCCUAUUAUUUAUCUACAAAACCUCAUAAACUUUUGUCAGAAAUUGAUCAAAUGUACAAUCUUUUCGAACAAAAAAAGUUGUAUUAUUACCAUUGAUGUAUUCCAUGAGGCCAUCCGCCGAUGUCUCCCACCAACCAAUAAAACACAAUUGAAACACAAUUAAAUCCAGUAAACUUGAAAAAUGUAAAAAAAGCAAAAUAAGUGUGGUUACACACUACAUAACAUGAUAAAGUGAAUAUGCGACAUAUUUUACAUGAAUGGUAAACAAAAUAAAAUAUAUGCAACAAGCAACUCUAUGUGCAACAGGUGUCUGUCACACUUAAAUUAAGGUAAAUUUUUUGUUUGACCAUGGGGGAGACUGGUGAAAAAGUUGUGUAUUUGAUUCGUCUUGUCGUAAGCUUCGAAACAACAUAUUACAUGCCAAAAAAGGACACAUGUAGCUUAAGUUAUGACCUCCAAAAGAUACAUGUCGCACGUACUAUAAUUUUGUGCAAUAGACUGAAUUAUGUGUGACAGACUAGGCAACAAGUGGCUGUCACAUAAAAAUAUAGUGGUAUUUAUGUGCGACAGGCACAUAUCGCCUAGCUUGUCACACAUAAUUCAACUUGUCGUACAUAACCUGAAUUUUGUUUCUAACUGGAGUUUCUACUGUUGCCAAUAUUUUUUUUUUAAUUUCUCAACUCAAAUCUAGCUACUUUAACAAAUUACAUUACUUUAUGAAUGAAAAAUAACAACAUUUAUAGCAAAAUCUACAUCAAUUUUGAACUUAAUACAUUAAAAAUUCAUAUUUUUGUAAGAACAUGGACUAACAUUUAAGAUGCUCCCAAUUGAUGAUUUUAUACUUUUGUUAUGCUGAGAGUGUAGAGAGUGUUAAGAUUUAUUGAGUGUUGAGGUUUGUUGAGGGUGUUGAGAGUGUUGAGGUUUGUUGAAAGUGACAUUGUUUGAAAAAUUGAUGAAAUUGAUGAGGGCAAUUUAGUCCAAAAGAUUAGUAUUUGGCUAGUUAUGUUAAAAAAAAUUGAGGGAUUAAAUUUUUAAAAAAAUACAAAAAUAUUAUGGCUACUUCUGUGAAUUUUCCUUUAUUUUUAAACAAAAUAAAAAAUUUAAUUAAUUAGACAAAUUUGCCCAAUUGAAAUUGGGUUGAGAAGUUAACGAAAUGACGUGGCAUUUACUGGUUAUUAAUUUUAUGGAUAUUGUAAAAUUAUCUCAUUAUUAAUACUAUAAAAUAUCUUCUAUUAAUUGACUCUCAUUAAUUAGUGAUGCUUAAUUUAACGGACGAAGCUACGGUGCCGCGGGUGCACGGUACCCCUUAUUUUUGGUAAAUUACUUUGCAGUCCCUCUUAUUUACUGAAAAGUGAACAAAUUAGAAGUUUUGAAAUUUUAAUAUAUAAGUCCAAAAUAUUUCUACUAUUUACACUUAAGAGUAUAUUUCUAUUAUUUAUAUUUGAAUACUAAGCCAUAAUUGAUUAUUAUGAAUUUUUUAACAUUGUCAUUUGGUCAUAUUAUUAUUGAUAAAUUAAAAAUUAAUUAUAUAUUAAAAUUAUUUAUUAUUGAUUAAAUAGAUUUUAUACUGUUUCUAAAAAUUGUUUAAUAUUAUUGAUAAAUUAAUAUAUUUUAUUAUAUAUUUAAAUUAUUUAUUACAGAUUAAAUUAAUAUUAUAUUAUUUUCAAAAAAUAAAAAAGAUUUUAUGUAUUAAUUUUUUUUAAGUUAUUGGCCUUAUAUUGUCAUUAAUUUAAUAGUAAAUUAGAUUAAUUGAUCACAAUAUAAAAUUUAAAAUUUAAAAAUUAUCCAAAAUUAUUUGUCGAACUUUUGAUUAUUUUACUUUUUUGAAAAACAAUAGAGAUGUCAAUGUUAAAAACCAAAUAGAAUACAUCCAUACCGUUGAAACAAGUUUUAAAUCACACUACUGCAUAAACCAGAGAAUCAAUAGUAUGAUUUUUGUCGAUCAAAAAAUCUACUUCUAAAUAUGAUGUUUUUAAUUAAAAUUAUUUUAUUAUGUUAGAGUUUAUGAAAAGAAGGAAACGAAAAUAGAGGAUAGAGUUCAUGGGUACUAAACUGCUAAUUAGAAAUAAAGAAAGAACAUAAAUGAAAUUAAGUUAUCGUACACAAAGACGAUAAUAAUAUCAAAAUAAAAAAUUUAAUUAAAUAUACCAUACGAAUUACGCAACUUGUUCAUUAAUAAUAUUAUUGGAAACAUUUAAUUUAGGCAUAUGCAUGUUCAUUAUGGUCAUAUAUUAUUAUUGUUAACAAAUUAAUAUAUUUUUAUCAGGUAUUCAAUUUUAAUUGACAUAUUCAAAUAAUUAUUGUAUAUUAAAUAGAUAUUAUGUUAACAAAAUAUUUAUUAAGGCGUGUUAAUUUUUCGUGCAUUUUAAAAUUUUUAUAUGAGAUUACAUUAUUUUCCGUACACUAUACUCAUGCUAAUAGUCAAAUUAGGUCAAUAGAUUUAAUUGUAAAAAAAAUUGAAACAAUCUGGACAUAUAUGUCAACAUUUAGAAACUUUUGCCUUUUCUAAUUUUUCAGAAAAUAUCAGGGAUAACAAUGUUAAUAACCAUACAAACCCACAUGCAGGCCUUUGCAACUCUUUGGUUAGAUUUAAUGGUUAAAUCACAAAAUCACAAAAUAGGGGUACCAAACACCUGUUGCAAAGUAGCAGGACUCUAAUUUAAGAUAUAAAAUUUUGUAUGAGCAUGUCACUAUUCUUAAUAAUAUAAUUACUUUAUAAUUUAAAGUAGAGAAUGGUGAGGAAUGCCGGCAGUUCGUCAUUUUGCACUUUUUUUUUUGUUUUUGAUUAAAAUAGACUUUUUUAUUUAUAUACAUUGUCAUGGAAUAUAUAUUUGUUUUGCCAUGCAUCAAUUUUCUAGCUGAAUUUCACAUUUAGAAAAGGAACGGUUAUUUAUACUCUAAGCAUUCAUAUGUUUAAGAAAUUUGAUUUUAUUAAAAUACUCAUAAGUUAAUAUACUGUUCAGGACAAUCUGUUUGAUAAAUACAAUGAUAAAUUUUUAAUUAUUUCAUCGUGAAAUAAAAAUUUUUAAAAUUCCUCUUAAUUAUUGUAAACUUUAAAUUAUUUUUAUUUUUUAUUCAAGAGACAACGGUGGGUCAAUGAAAUUUUUUUAUCUUCUUUAUAUAAAUGAGAGGUAAAUUAAGGUUUCCAAUACUUAAACGGCAUUUUAAAAAUUAUCAUUUCAAGAGAAUUAAUCCAAAAUUAACCCUUAACAAAAAACACAUAUUCAACGUAAAGUAAUAUAAACAGAAAGCUAAAUUUUAAUUUUUCUAAUUUUAUUUGAUCAGUUUCUUCCAGUAAGGAGCUCAGAGUAAAAUUCUACAACAGCCAAGUUCAAACUUCAAAUAUUUAAGUUAUGGAUUAAUUGUGCAUGGUCAAUUAUUAUUAUUAUUAUUAUUUCAUUCAUUCAUGAUUAUCCUUUGACAUUAAUGUUAGCGAGAACUAUAAAAUAACAUUUUUAUUCAAAAUAAAAAAUUAUAAAUUAAGUGUGAAGGGCUAAUUGCCUAAUUUAAACUUUUUAUACUAUAUAUAGAAACCCCGUCAUUUUUUCAAACACGACAGGUGCCAAAGCCAUGAUACCAUCUAGGCAUCUACAUCAUCCAUAUUGGUCAUCUUGAAAAUUGGCUUCCUUGCUGCUUACGUCUCUAAAGCCACCAAAUUUUUAAUAAUUUUGCAACCGAUAAAAUAUGUUGAAUCAACGACAUUUAUCUGCAAUGAUAAGAAAUAUCUCAAGAUUCCAGUUCUAUCACAAGUUGGCAUAGCAGCCAAUUUUAGUAGCUCCCCUUUUCGCAGUAUGUUCAAGCAUAAAUAUAUAUAUUACAUUUAACUAUUUAAGAAUUUUGUGUCGCUUCACCCUCUUGUCAUCCUCCCAUCCGUUGGAGCAAUAACUAAAAGGAGAUGCAUUCUCUAGUGGUAGAGUUGCUAGGAAUCGCACUGUUGAUUAAGUUCUUGGUAUGAAAUUUAUUUUUCUGGUUUUGGAGAGAACAAACUGAGAGGUGUUUUGGUAACUUUAAAGGUGUAUGGAAUAAAUUAAUUUAAAAAAUGUACCAAAUGUGUAUGCAAGUAAAAGAAUAUUCAAAGUAUGUCGUAAAGUAUAAAUAGGUUCAAUCUUUUAAAAAAUACAAAUAUUUGCACUCGAGAAAAUAUCUUGACAUCCAUACAUCUUGGAAACAAACUAAUAUUGUUAAGCUCUCCCUAAGUUUCAUUUAGUGUAACUUACAACCCACUAAAAAUAAGCUAAAACAAGAUCUUGACCUCACAUAUUAAUUACUUAUUUUUACAGAUUUUUAAUGGAAUGUAAGUUAUACUAACUAUAACUUAGGCAAACCCAUAUUAUUAUUAGAAAGUAAUGGUAUUGGUAUGGAAUUCUAUGAAAUUUAUCGAUAGAGAAAUAAUGUUAACAUGCUAAAUGUUAUCCCAAAUGAAAUCACGUUUAUCAAAUAGACAAGUAACUUGAUCAGGUGGCUAUUAGAAAAGUCAAGUAAAAGUAAAAAAGGUGAUGAUAGGAAAAAAAAAAAAAUAGAAAUGUGACAAAAUUCAUUCCUUUUCAAAUUAUUAAUAUCAGCCUAUUUGCAAUUGAGUAUAUGGGUUCGAGUCCCAAAAAUGGUUAAAACUCAAUUUUCCUCUCAAUAAAAUUAAGUAGGAAUAUAAUUAUCUUAUCUUAAUUUAGGAUAGAAUAAAUAUCUCUCCAAUAUUAUGUGAUGGUAGAAAUUACUAUAGUAGAAUUAUCAAGAAAAAUUCCAAUCGAUUUGUAAUUGCUAAUAUCAGUAUAGUUCUAAUUGUAAUACAUUAAUUAUAAAAAAAAAAAAUCUUCUUUUUCAAAUUUUGUCCAAAAAUUUCUAUAGAAAAUAAAAGAAACGUAUAAAAAAUAUGAAAGUUCAAGUAGACAUCAAUGGGUCCUAGCCCCUAGGUGCAGAGUUUCAAUCAAGACUUUGUUGCUCGUUAUCUUAUCAGAAUUUGAAAAUAGAGACAAACUAUAUUAUAUCAGUGGAUAGAUUCUGGCCGCUGAUGGCGGUAGCGGAAUAAUCGGUUUUUAAUAGAUCAAAAGGAGUAACUUAGCUAAAUUACUUAUUAGCUAAAUGAAUAGUUGAGAAAUUUAGCUAUAUUUAGCUAAUACCAUUCCUUGCAGAAGAAGCUCAUUGUUCUAAAAGUUACUUAUUAGCUAAAUAAAUAUUCGAAUGGAUCUCACGUUUUCUCCCCAAACAGUAUUACCCAUGUGGAUGUGGCUCCCUCUUCUCCUCAUCCCGCUGCUGCUCAUCUUGAAAAAGCUGAAAGCACAAAACAAGCAGCAGCUUCCACCAAGCCCACCUAAGCUUCCAGUAAUAGGCAAUUUUCACCAACUUGGAGAGUUGCCUCACCAAUCUUUGUGGCAACUCUCUAAAAAAUACGGCCCCGUUAUGCUCCUCAAACUUGGUCGUGUGCCUCUUGUCGUAAUCUCCUCGGCUGAGGCAGCAAGGGAUGUAUUAAAAGUUCAUGAUCUCGAUUGUUGCAGCAGACCACCAUUAAUAGGCAGUGGGAAGUUUACGUACAACUAUUCGGAUAUAGCUUUUUCACCAUAUAGCGAUUACUGGAGGGAGUUGCGGAAAAUAAGUGUCCUCGAGGUAUUCAGCUUGAGAAGAGUGCAGUCAUUUGGAUUCAUCAGGGAAGAGGAAGUUGCCCUGCUUAUGAAUUCAAUCUCUGAAUCAUCAUCCUCUGCCUCCCCUGUUGAUCUUUCUGAGAAGAUGUUUGCUCUCACUGGAAGUAUAGUUUUCAGGAUGGCUUUUGGGAGGAGAUUUCGAGGGAGCAAUUUCGAUAAUCAUAGUUUUCAAGAAUUGGUCCAUGCCGUUGAAUCUCUGUUGGGGGGAUUCGCAGCAGCUGAAUGCUUCCCAUAUGUGGGUUGGAUCAUUGAUAGGCUCAAUGGUUACCAUGCAAAGCUCGAGAGAGUUUUCCAAGAAUUAGAUACUUUAUUCCAACAAAUAAUCGACGAUCAUCUCAAACCUGCUGAGACAACAAAACAAGAACAUGUACAACAAGACAUCAUCGAUGUGAUGCUCAAAAUUGAGAGAGAUCAAGCUGAAUCCCAUGAAAGUGAAGCUUGGCUCACAAAAAAUCAUAUUAAGGCAGUACUUCUGGUAAGCAUGUAGCUGCCUUUUCACUUUAGCAUCAUCGUGCAUUGCAAUAGAAUCUAAAAUCAGAAAUUGAUUGUGAGACAAAUUUAUUUAUGUCCAUUCUCUUAUAUAUUGUGCCUGCUAUGCUAUGCUGUGUGCGCUUUAACAGAAUAUAUUUCUGGGAGGAGUAGACACCAGCGCAAUUACGGUGAUUUGGGCAAUGGCAGAGCUCUGUAAGAAUCCAAGAUUGAUGAAAAAAGCACAAGCUGAAAUCAGAAAUCAUAUCGGAAACAAAGGAAGAGUUACCGAAGCCGAUAUUGAUCAACUUCAGUACCUGAAGAUGGUGAUCAAGGAAACUCUGAGACUGCACCCUCCUGCCCCACUAUUAAUUGCGAGAGAUACCCUGUAUCGUUUCAAAGUUAAUGGUUAUGACAUUUAUCCCAAAACGUUGAUCCAAGUGAAUGCCUGGGCAAUUGGAAGAGAUUCAAAGUACUGGGAGAGUCCUGAAGAAUUCAUCCCAGAAAGGUUUAUUGAUAAGCCGGUUGAUGUUAAAGGACAAGAUUUCGAAUAUUUACCAUUUGGAUCCGGCCGAAGAAUUUGUCCUGGGAUUAAUUUGGGAUUAAUAAUGUCGGAGCUUGCGCUUGCAAAUCUCUUGUAUUGUUUUGAUUGGAAAUUGCCGAAUGGAAGGGAGGAGGAUUGUGUUAACAUGAACAUGGAGGAGGCAACUGGUGUGUCUCUCACUCUCUCUAAAAAGACGCCUCUUAUCCUUGUGCCAGUCAAUUACCUCCAGUAGCAUAGCCAUCAGAAAAAUGAAAGACAACAACAACAUUGCUCUGUUGUAACUUCCUCAACUUCCUGUACAAGUUGUGGUUGAUUGUAAUGUAAUCACUUGUAAUCAUGUAUUUGAGGAUAAUGUAUUAUCAUCACCUAAAUUAUGUAUGGAUUCGCCAUAAAACUACUUGAUAGAUGGAUGCCUCAAGUUUACUUGUAAUCACGUAUUUGAGGAUGAUGUAUUAUCAUCACCUAAAUUAUGUAUGGAUUCGCCGUUAUCUAUAUUUUGUUUAGAUAGAUGGAUGCCUCAAGUUUAAAUUUAUUUUAUUCCCCAAGUAAAACUACUUGAAUAUCACUUACUUAAGACCCUUGGAGGCCAAAGGUUACUUAUCUCACA